CUAUAAUGCAGUGUUAAUGAAAAUUCUCCAAACUGAGUGUAAAAAAGUACUCUGAAAAGCUCCGCCCCCUUGCACUUUGUGCCAGACCGAAGAGAAUUUUAUCGGCGCCAUUUUCAACUUCUCCGCCUUGCUGGAAAAGUCUCGGACAGCACCACCACAACAUGUGAGAGAGAUGUAUGCUCAAGGCAUGAUUGAAAAGUUCCCAAACCUGCGUGAUCCUUAUUCCAAAAAUGGAUAUUGGCUACUUAGCAUGGAGGCUUAAAACCAUCCAGAGGAAGAGCACCUUAUCAGAGGGGAGAAGAUCAUCAUGUCAGCUGACUGGGUGUGGACCAACAGCCAGAGGAGAUGCUUCAUUUAACCCUGAGGUGACCCUAAGAGAAGAGCCAUAUAAGGAAGCUAAUUCCUUCAUGAAAUACUCUUCUGAUGAGGCCGCCAUCAGGA